rnacentral:sRNA from 1 species
GGACCACCAUUACCAGAUGAUGCAUUUAUUUUGUAGCUGCUGCCCACUCGCAUUCUAAUAAACAUACUAAAAACCCAUAAAGGAUUAUCUACGAUUGGCAUUCUAAUCAACUGCAAACCAAUGUGGAAUUUUAUCCAGUUAACCCAUAACUCUUCAAUGCCAUAAUCCCCAAUAAAUACCAGCAGUACCCGGAGUAGCAGAAGUAGUAGUUACAUCAACACCGUAUUGCUGCUUCUCGGAGAUAAAAACGAGAGAGAAAAGAAAAAUAAGAA